GCAUCAGUGGGUUUAGUGGUAAAAUAUCCAUCGUUGCCAUCCUGCCCUCCAACUCGAGGGACCGAAUCUCGAGAAACUUGAACCCAUGAGAUGCCACCGGGCCCCGUGCUCGAUUCACAGCUGAUGCA